rnacentral:rRNA from 1 species
GAUGAACGCUGGCGGCGUGCUUAACACAUGCAAGUCGAACGAUGAAGCCCAGCUUGCUGGGUGGAUUAGUGGCGAACGGGUGAGUAACACGUGAGUAACCUGCCCUUGACUCUGGGAUAAGCCUGGGAAACUGGGUCUAAUACUGGAUAUGACUUCUCAUCGCAUGGUGGGGGGUGGAAAGAUUUAUUGGUCUUGGAUGGACUCGCGGCCUAUCAGCUUGUUGGUGUGGUAAUGGCUCACCAAGGCGACGACGGGUAGCCGGCCUGAGAGGGUGACCGGCCACACUGGGACUGAGACACGGCCCAGACUCCUACGGGAGGCAGCAGUGGGGAAUAUUGCACAAUGGGCGCAAGCCUGAUGCAGCGACGCCGCGUGAGGGAUGACGGCCUUCGGGUUGUAAACCUCUUUCAGUAGGGAAGAAGCGAGAGUGACGGUACCUGCAGAAGAAGCGCCGGCUAACUACGUG